GCUGGCGGCACUAGCGCGGUGGUCCCACCUGACCCCAUGCCGAACUCAGAAGUGAAACGCCGUAGCGCCGAUGGUAGUGUGGGGUCUCCCCAUGUGAGAGUAGGGAACUGCCGGCA
rnacentral:rRNA from 1 species